AUUGAACGCUGGCGGCAGGCCUAACACAUGCAAGUCGAGCGGAUGAAGGGAGCUUGCUCCUGGAUUCAGCGGCGGACGGGUGAGUAAUGCCUAGGAAUCUGCCUGGUAGUGGGGGAUAACGUCCGGAAACGGGCGCUAAUACCGCAUACGUCCUGAGGGAGAAAGUGGGGGAUCUUCGGACCUCACGCUAUCCGAUGAGCCUAGGUCGGAUUAGCUAGUUGGUGGGGUAAAGGCCUACCAAGGCGACGAUCCGUAACUGGUCUGAGAGGAUGAUCAGUCACACUGGAACUGAGACACGGUCCAGACUCCUACGGGAGGCAGCAGUGGGGAAUAUUGGACAAUGGGCGAAAGCCUGAUCCAGCCAUGCCGCGUGUGUGAAGAAGGUCUUCGGAUUGUAAAGCACUUUAAGUUGGGAGGAAGGGCAGCAAGUUAAUACCUUGCUGUUUUGACGUUACCAACAGAAUAAGCACCGGCUAACUUCGUG
rnacentral:rRNA from 1 species